rnacentral:tRNA from 1 species
AGGUAGUUGAAUACUGAUUUGCAUUCAGAUAAUAUGAUUAAAGAUCAUACUAUUAU